rnacentral:tRNA from 1 species
ACAUUCUUAGUUUAUUUUAGAAUAGCAGUUUGUCGUACUGCAGGGGAAAUCUUUGUUAUUUCAGAGUGGG